rnacentral:rRNA from 1 species
UACGGGGGGAGCAAGCGUUGUUCGGAUUUACUGGGCGUAAAGGGCGCGUAGGCGGCGCAACAAGUCGGGAGUGAAAGCCCGGGGCUCAACCCCGGAACUGCUUUCGAAACUGCUGAGCUAGAGUACAGAAGGGGCAACCGGAAUUCCCAGUGUAGCGGUGAAAUGCGUAGAUAUUGGGAAGAACACCUGAGGCGAAGGCGGGUUGCUGGGCUGAUACUGACGCUGAGGCGCGAAAGCCAGGGGAGCAAACGGG